GAUGAACGCUGGCGGCGUGCCUAACACAUGCAAGUCGAGCGAUUCUCUUUCGGGAGAAGAGCGGCGGACGGGUGAGUAACGCGUGGGUAACCUGCCCUGUACACACGGGAUAACAUACCCGAAAGGUAUGCUAAUACGAGAUAAUAUGCUUUUAUCGCAUGGUAGAAGUAUCAAAAGCUCCGGCGGUACAGGAUGGACCCGCGUCUGAUUAGCUAGUUGGUAAGGUAACGGCUUUACCAAGGCGACCGAUCAGUAGCCGACCUGAGAGGGUGAUCGGCCACAUUGGAACUGAGACACGGGUCCAAAACUCCUACGGGAGGCAGCAGUGGGGAAUAUUGCACAAUGGGCGAAAGCCUGAUGCAGCAACGCCGCGUGAGCGAUGAAGGCC
rnacentral:rRNA from 1 species